AGAACCUGAACACCUGAUAGGUUACUGAGAGGAUUCAUUCCUUCCAGUGGACAGUUUUGGGAAGAGUAGCCAGUUCCACACUGAGAGUGACAAACCUGCUGUCAGUUGUCUCAGUGAUGUGGACCUGGUGAUUGGUGUCUGGGUCCCUUGUGUCUGGGAGCAGAGGGACUCUCUGGGUGUUUAUGCCCCCAUGAUCUCUACCAGGAUGUUGAAGCAUCCUGGACCCAAGGAUAUAUCCAUGCAAGUAAAGGGACAACUUUCUCUAUAUCUAGACUCAUAAAAGCAUGUGAAAAUCAACUAGUACUGGGUGACAAGAAUGUAAUGUCAAAGCUACCAGAAGACUGAUGAGGCGCAUGUGGCU
rnacentral:lncRNA from 1 species